rnacentral:rRNA from 1 species
UACAGGGGGCGCGAGCGUUGCUCGGAAUCACUGGGCGUAAAGCGAACGCAGGCGGACCGUUAAGUCGAAUGUGAAAGCCCGGGGCUCAACCCCGGAAGUGCAUUCGAAACUGGCGGUCUUGAGUACGGGAGAGGUGGGUGGAAUUCCUGGUGUAGAGGUGAAAUUCGUAGAUAUUGGGAGGAACACCAGUGGCGAAGGCGGCUACCUGGACCGGUUCUGACGCUGAGGCGCGAAAGCGUGGGUAGCAAACAGG